rnacentral:rRNA from 1 species
UACGAAGGGGGCUAGCGUUGCUCGGAAUUACUGGGCGUAAAGCGCACGUAGGCGGUCUUUUAAGUCGGGGGUGAAAUCCUGGAGCUCAACUCCAGAACUGCCUUCGAUACUGGAAGACUUGAGUCCGGGAGAGGUGAGUGGAACUGCGAGUGUAGAGGUGAAAUUCGUAGAUAUUCGCAAGAACACCAGUGGCGAAGGCGGCUCUCUGGCCCGGUACUGACGCUGAGGUGCGAAAGUGUGGGGAGCAAACAGG